UAGAAAUGGGGGCUCCUUUGAGGACAAAGAAAGCAUUUUAGAUCGUCUCUUUGUUCAUUGAAGCAGUCAUCCUUUGGUGUGAAGGGAGCUCCAAAUUCUU
rfam:Amborella trichopoda AMTR_V1.0_contig_32095, whole genome shotgun sequence.